rnacentral:piRNA from 1 species
UGGGGAAAACAAAAAAGCUAGCACUGGG